GCGGCGGCUAUACAUGCAGUCGAGCGAAUCUGAGGGAGCUUGCUCCCAAAGAUUAGCGGCGGACGGGUGAGUAACACGUGGGUAACCUGCCUGUAAGAUUGGGAUAACUCCGGGAAACCGGAGCUAAUACCGGAUAACAUAUCGAACCGCAUGGUUCAAUAUUGAAAGAUGGUUUCGGCUAUCACUUACAGAUGGACCCGCGGCGCAUUAGCUAGUUGGUGAGGUAACGGCUCACCAAGGCGACGAUGCGUAGCCGACCUGAGAGGGUGAUCGGCCACACUGGGACUGAGACACGGCCCAGACUCCUACGGGAGGCAGCAGUAGGGAAUCUUCCGCAAUGGACGAAAGUCUGACGGAGCAACGCCGCGUGAGCGAAGAAGGCCUUCGGGUCGUAAAGCUCUGUUGUUAGGGAAGAACAAGUACGAGAGUAACUGCUCGUACCUUGACGGUACCUAACCAGAAAGCCACGGCUAACUACGUGCCAGCAGCCGCGGUAAUACGUAGGUGGCAAGCGUUGUCCGGAAUUAUUGGGCGUAAAGCGCGCGCAGGCGGUUUCUUAAGUCUGAUGUGAAAGCCCACGGCUCAACCGUGGAGGGUCAUUGGAAACUGGGGAACUUGAGUGCAGAAGAGGAGAGUGGAAUUCCACGUGUAGCGGUGAAAUGCGUAGAGAUGUGGAGGAACACCAGUGGCGAAGGCGACUCUCUGGUCUGUAACUGACGCUGAGGCGCGAAAGCGUGGGGAGCGAACAGGAUUAGAUACCCUGGUAGUCCACGCCGUAA
rnacentral:rRNA from 2 species